AUUGAACGCUGGCGGCAGGCCUAACACAUGCAAGUCGAACGGUAACAGGAAGAAUCUUGCUUCUUUGCUGACGAGUGGCGGACGGGUGAGUAAUGUCUGGGAAACUGCCUGAUGGAGGGGGAUAACUACUGGAAACGGUAGCUAAUACCGCAUAACGUCGCAAGAACAAAGAGGGGGACCUUCGGGCCUCUUGUCAUCGGAUUAGCCCAGAUGGGAUUAGCUAGUAGGUGGGGUAACGGCUCACCUAGGCGACGAUCCCUAGCUGGUCUGAGAGGAUGAACAGCCACACUGGAACUGAGACACGGUCCAGACUCCUACGGGAGGCAGCAGUGGGGAAUAUUGCACAAUGGGCGCAAGCCUGAUGCAGCCAUGCCGCGUGUAUGAAGAAGGCCUUCGGGUUGUAAAGUACUUUCAGCGGGGAGGAAGGGAGUAAAGUUAAUACCUUUGCUUAUUGACGUUACCCGCAGAAGAAGCACCGGCUAACUACGUG
rnacentral:rRNA from 1 species